rnacentral:rRNA from 1 species
UACGUAGGGACCAAGCGUUGUCCGGAAUCAUUGGGCGUAAAGCGCGUGUAGGCGGCUUGCCAAGUCCGGUGUGAAAUCUCGGGGCUCAACCCCGAAACUGCACUGGAAACUGGCUUGCUAGAGUCCGGAAGAGGAGAUUGGAAUUCCUGGUGUAGCGGUGAAAUGCGCAGAUAUCAGGAAGAACACCCGUGGCGAAGGCGGAUCUCGGGGACGGUACUGACGAUGAGACGCGAAAGCGUGGGGAGCGAACAGG